AUGACGUCGCCGGCGACGGAGAAGCCCAAGACCACCAAGAAGCACAACGCGCACCUCAACAACCCCUUCCCGCGCGCCGUCCCGGCCGCCGCUUUCCGCAACGGCGAUGCCGCGCCGCCCCUCUCCUUCGGCCCGUUCUCCAAGCUCGCCCACGCCCACGAUUACCCCGUUGGCUCCCGAUUCCGCCUGAGCUGGAAUCCCUCGCUCGGCGGAGCGGUCUCGCUGGCACGCGUCUCCUCCUCCGACGGCGAUCCUCGCAGCCGCGUGAUGUGGGAGACCAUCCCCGGCGUCGCGUUCGUCUCCGCGGCUUCCGCCACCACCGAGGCCGACGAGUGCCGCGGAUCGUUCGCGCUCCGCGACGGACGCGCCCGCCUUGUUCCCGACCGCCAGAGCGUCGACAGGAUCAGGUCCUUGUACCGCUGCGACGUCGAGGCCGGCGCCGACGCCCUGCGCGGCGCCGCGUUCGAAGCGUCUGACCAGACACGGUUCCCGGUGCUGUUGAUCACCGGGGUCGUGUCUGCGAAGAAGGCGGACCCUGCGUCGUCGUGCUGCUGCGGCCUGCGCGCCGGCCGCCGUGCCAGGGCCCGCGCUGGAAAGCCGGUCCUGUCAGGGAGGUACUGGGUCUUCCUGGAGGAGAAGAGCGACACGCAAGUGUCGUUCAGCGUCAAGAUCGCCGACUACCAAUGGAGCUGCGGCCACGCCGAUCCUUCGAGUCCACCACCGGCGGCCACGACAGCUCCAAGGCCCCACCGGAUCAACAUCCUGAGCCUUCGGCUCCGCCUGGCGGGGAGAGUCCAUAGGAACAUGAGCAAGAAGAAGAAGCUCUCCGCCCAGGAGGAGCUCUCAGCGCUGCUGCCGCCGACGGAAAGAGCGUCGGCGGACGAGGAGGCACGGCCGGAGGAGUUCAACCGGGUGUUCCUCACGUACGUGAGCGAGCGCGACGAGCGGUUCUACGGCUUCGGCGAGCAAUUCAGCUGCAUGGAAUUCAAGGGGAGAAGGGUGCCCGUUCUUGUGCAGGAACAGGGGAUUGGCAGGGGAGACCAGCCCAUCACUUUCGCUGCCAAUCUCCUCAGCUACAGGUCGGGAGGAAACUGGAGCACCACGUAUGCUCCAUCUCCUUUCUACAUGACCUCCAAGAUGAGGUCCCUGUACCUGGAGGGAUACGAUUAUUCUAUAUUUGACCUUACAAAACCUGACAGAGUGCAGAUUCAGGUAUAUGGUAAUUCGGUUCAGGGAAGAAUACUGCAGGGAGAGUCACCGACCGAUCUGAUCACGAGCUACACGGGGUCGACCGGACGGCCGCCGGUUCUUCCCAGAUGGAUCACGUCCGGCGCGGUCGUCGGCAUGCAGGGCGGCACGGACGCCGUCCGCCGUGUGUGGAGCCAGCUGCAAGACCACGACGUCCCGGUCUCCGCAUUCUGGCUGCAGGAUUGGGUUGGGCAGAGGAAGACGGCGAUCGGGUCGCAGCUCUGGUGGAACUGGGAGGUCGACGACGAUCACUACUCCGGCUGGAAGGACCUUAUACGCGAUCUCCGGCGCGACGGCGUGAGGACGAUGACAUACUGCAAUCCCUGCCUUGUCCCGAUGGGUGAGAAGGGGAACGCGAGGAGGCACCUGUACGAGGAGGCCAAGGAGCUGGGGAUCCUGGUGAGGGACGAGGCCGGCGAGCCGUACAUGAUGCCCAACACGGCGUUCGACGUGGCCAUGCUGGACUUCACCAACCCGGAGGCGAGCUCCUGGUUCAAGGGCAUCCUGCGCGGGAUGGCGGACGAAGGCGUCAGCGGCUGGAUGGCCGACUUCGGCGAGGGCCUCCCUCUGGACGCGCGGCUCCACUCCGGGGAGGACCCCGUGGCGGCGCACAACCGGUACCCGGAGCUGUGGGCGCGCGUCAACCGGGAGUUCGCCGACGAGUGGAAGUCGGAAGCCGGCGAGGACGAGGAGGAAGGGCUGGUGUUCUUCGUGCGGGCGGGGUUCAGGGAGAGCUCCAGGUGGGCGAUGCUCUUCUGGGAGGGGGACCAGAUGGUGAGCUGGCAGGCCAACGACGGCAUCAAGAGCAGCGUCGUCGGCCUGCUCAGCGGCGGCCUCUCCGGCAUCCCGCUGAACCACAGCGACGCCGGCGGGUACUGCACCGUCGACCUCCCGCUCCUGCGCUACCGACGGAGCGAGGAGCUCCUCAUGCGGUGGAUGGAGGUGAACGCCUUCACCGUCGUCUUCCGCACCCACGAGGGGAACAAGCCCGGGUCCAACUGCCAGUUCUACUCCAACAGCCGGACCCUCGCGCAUUUCGCGCGCUGCGCCAAUAUGUACAAAGCCUGGGAGUUCUACCGCCUCCAGCUCGUCAAGGAGGCGGCGGAGAAGGGCCUCCCCGUGGCGCGCCACCUCUUCCUGCACUACCCGGAGGACCGGCGCGUGCAGGAGAUGACGUACCAGCAGUUCCUGGUCGGGACGGAGAUGCUGGUGGUGCCGGUCCUGGACAAGGGCAGGACCGCGGUGACCGCCUACUUUCCGACGUCGGACGGGGGGUCGUGGAGGCACGUGUGGACCGGCGAAGAGUUUGGCGGUGGGCACAGGAGCGGGCACGGUAGCCUGGGGGAGGCGACGGUGCACGGGUUCGAGGCCGAGGUCAGCGCCGACGUCGGCUGUCCGGCCGUGUUUGUGAGGGUUGGGUCACCCGUUGGGGAAAGGUUUGUAAGAAAUUUGAGAGACCUCGGUGUAAUUUAA
rnacentral:rRNA from 1 species